AUUGUGGCAGCCAUUUUCUGUUAUGUCAAUAUGUUAUGCCACCCACGAUAGCCAUUUUGUGUUAUGCCACACUCCCACAGUAGCCAUUUUAUGUUAUGCUAUGCCCCAUGACACCUGUGGAACUUUCCCAGAAUUCCAAAUGUACCUGCUGGCCCAAAAUGUUGGCAACUGCUGAGCUAGGCUAAGACGCUCAAAGACCUCCAGGCCAAUUGAAAUACAGUCUGUCACAGAAACAGAAAUGCAGUAGUGGCAUUUAAAUCGACACAAAAAGAAUACUUGAAGCAUUGUUGACUGUUCAGUUGCAACUGAAGAAAACAAAAAUGGUAUUUAGAAUGACAACAAGCAAGCCAGUGUCCAGCAUAGUUGCCUUGGCAAGGCUAGCAACAGAACUCCGGCUGCUCCAAGAGAUGUGAGCAAGAACCAUCAAAUAUCUGCAGCAACAGUUUGGUUGGGAAUGGAAUCCUAUUGACUUUCCUCAUUUUGAAAAAUGUUAGUUUAACUUUG